AUGGAGUGGAGCUGGAUCAUCCUCUUGCUGGUGGCAGCAGCUACAAGUGUCCACUCCCAGGUCCAGCGGCAGCAGUCUGGGGCUGAGCUGGUGAGGCCUGGGGCCUCAGUGAAGUUGUCCUGCAAGGCUUCAGGCUACACCUUCACUAGCUACUUUAUGCACUGGGUGAAGCAGAGACCUGGACGGAGCCUGGAGUGGAUUGGAUGGAUUUAUCCUGGAAGUGGUAAUACUAAGUACAAUCAGAAGUUCCAGAGCAAGGCCACACUGACUGUCGAUAAAUCCUCCAGCACAGCCUACAUGGAGCUCAGCAGCCUGACAUCUGAGGACUCUGCCGACUAUUACUGUGCGCGAAACACAGUGUUACAACCCACAUCCUGGGUGUGUCAGAAACGCUGA